rfam:Oryza sativa Japonica Group DNA, chromosome 1, cultivar: Nipponbare, complete sequence.
CUUAAUUUCAAUUUUUAAGUUUUAGUGUUCAACGUUUGACCGUCCAUCUUAUAUGAAAUUUUUUUAUGAUUAAUAUUUUCAUUAUUGUUAGAUGAUAAAACAUAAAUAAUACUUUAUGAAUGAGUUAUCUUUUUAAUUUUUUUCAUAACUUUUUCAAAUAAGACGAAUGGUCAAACGUUAGACACGAAAACCCAAGAAUUGAGUUUUU